rnacentral:rRNA from 1 species
AGCGAACGCUGGCGGCGGGCCUAACACAUGCAAGUCGAGCGCCGCCGCCAUCCGGGGCGGCAGACGGGGGAAUAACACGUGGGAACGUACCUUUUGGUUCGGAACCACACAGGGUAACCUGUGCUAAUACCGGAUAAGCCCUUACGGGCAGAGAUUUAUCGGCGAAAGAUCGGCCCGCGUCUGAUUAGCUAGUUGGAGAGGUGACGGCUCACCAAGGCGACGAUCAGUAGCUGGUCUGAGAGGAUGAUCAGCCACACUGGGACUGAGACACGGCCCAGACUCCUACGGGAGGCAGCAGUGGGGAAUAUUGGACAAUGGGCGCAAGCCUGACCCAGCCAUGCCGCGUGAGUGAUGAAGGCCCUAGGGUUGUAAAGCUCUUUUGUGCGGGAAGAUAAUGACUGUACCGCAAGAAUAAGCCCCGGCUAACUUCGUGCCAGCAGCCGCAGUAACAC